AGGACAAACGCUGGCGGCGUGCGUAACACAUGCAAGUCGAACGGGGUCAGCGGGACUUUCGGGUUCUGCUGGUCUAGUGGCGGACGGGUGAGUAACACGUGGAUAACCUACCCUGGUGUGGGGGGAUACCCUGUAGAAAAUAUAGGCUAAUACCGCAUGAGGUGGAGCUUGGGGGACUAAGCUUCAAGAAAGUCGUAAGACGCAGCAGGUGGGGUCCGCGGCCGAUUAGCUAGUUGGCGGGUAAAGGCCCACCAAGGCGACGAUCGUUAGCUGGUCUGAGAGGAUGAUCAGCCACACUGGGACUGAGACACGGCCCAGACUCCUACGGGAGGCAGCAGUGGGGAAUAUUGGACAAUGGGCGCAAGCCUGAUCCAGCAAUGCCGCGUGAGUGAAGAAGGUCUUCGGAUUGUAAAGCUCUUUCGACGGGGACGAUGAUGACGGUACCCGUAGAAGAAGCCCCGGCUAACUUCGUGCCAGCAGCCGC
rnacentral:rRNA from 1 species